rnacentral:rRNA from 1 species
UGGGGAAUAUUGGACAAUGGGCGCAAGCCUGAUCCAGCCAUACCGCGUGGGUGAAGAAGGCCUUCGGGUUGUAAAGCCCUUUUGUUGGGAAAGAAAUCCAGCUGGCUAAUACCCGGUUGGGAUGACGGUACCCAAAGAAUAAGCACCGGCUAACUUCGUGCCAGCAGCCGCGGUAAUACGAAGGGUGCAAGCGUUACUCGGAAUUACUGGGCGUAAAGCGUGCGUAGGUGGUCGUUUAAGUCCGUUGUGAAAGCCCUGGGCUCAACCUGGGAACUGCAGUGGAUACUGGGCGACUAGAGUGUGGUAGAGGGUAGCGGAAUUCCUGGUGUAGCAGUGAAAUGCGUAGAGAUCAGGAGGAACAUCCAUGGCGAAGGCAGCUACCUGGACCAACACUGACACUGAGGCACGAAAGCGUGGGGAGCAAAACAGGAUUAGAUACCCUGGUAGUCCACGCCCUAAACGAUGCGAACUGGAUGUUGGGUGCAAUUUGGCACGCAGUAUCGAAGCUAACGCGUUAAGUUCGCCGCCUGGGAGUACGGUCGCAAGACUGAAACUC